rnacentral:rRNA from 1 species
GACGAACGCUGGCGGCGUGCCUAAUACAUGCAAGUCGAACGAGUGGCGGACGGGUGAGUAAUGUCUGGGCAACUGCCUGAUGGAGGGGGAUAACUACUGGAAACGGUAGCUAAUACCGCAUACCAUCGGAUGUGCCCAGAUGGGAUUAGCUAGUAGGUGGGGUAAAGGCUCACCUAGGCGACGAUCCCUAGCUGGUCUGAGAGGAUGACCAGCCACACUGGAACUGAGACACGGUCCAGCCUCCUACGGGAGGCAGCAGUGGGGAAUAUUGCACAAUGGGCGAAAGCCUGAUGAAGCCAUGCCGCGUGUAUGAAGAAGGCCUUCGGGUUGUAAAGUACUUUCAGCGGGGAGGCGUUACCAACAGAAUAAGCACCGGCUAACUUCGUGCCAGCAGCCGCGGUAAUAC